AGGUCGAUUCAAAUGAUAAAGUGGGGAGACCCACGAAACGACGUACGUUGAGGGUGCACGGGGUCCCUGUAUGGCCACUGGAAGUAUGCCUGCUAUAGUUGAAGACACAGAUCCACCCCCCUGUAUCCUAUUAAGCCAUGCUUCUACUAUCUACUCCGAAGAUCUCACCAGCCCCCAUUUGAUCACCUUGCCAAGAGAUGCUGGAGACCGUCCGUCCUGUGAGGGGUCCACCAGCUGCCAUCUUAACUUCUUGGCACUUCAUGAUUGUGUCGCAGUGAGAUUGAUUGGCGGUCUCGUCUUCCAACCCCCUUGAAGGUUUCUAAUGAACAUGGCAUUAAGGAGGCUAUAAAUCUUGGAUCAAAGUUAUUAAAUAAAUUAUCCAAUACUGCAAAUAAUGCAGCCAGCACCUGAAGUCUAUGCUCCUGAACUUGCUGCAUACAAUCUCCCAACAUCUUGAUU